rnacentral:rRNA from 1 species
AUGCGCGGGACGGUAGACAUCUCUAGGCUAAACUUCGGGUUCCUCUCGCUGAUCCCUAAGGUGGCCGGGGCAGAUAACAUCCGCCAGUUCAGGCCGAUCGCGCUCAUCAACGUACCGUUCAAGAUAUGUUCUAAAGCCACUACCUCCCGCUUGGUCCCGAUUGCGCAUCGCACAAUCAGCCGCACCCAAACGGCUUUUAUACGCGGUCGAAACAUUCUAGAAGGCUCUCUUGCGCUCCAGGAGAUCAUCCACGAGCUCAAACGCACCAACGAACCGGCUAUUCUACUAAAACUUGACUUUGAAAAAGCUUACGAUCGCGUGCAUUGGAAUUUUUUGCGCCAGGUCCUUCUUAGCCGAGGCUUCUCGGCCAUGUGGGUGCACCGGAUUAUGCAGCUGGUCUCGGGUGGCCAGACUGCUAUUUCGAUAAACGGAGAAGUAGGGAAUUUCUUCAGGAACAAGCGGGGGCUGCGUCAGGGCGAUCCCAUCUCCCCGCUCCUGUUCAACUUCGUGGUAGACGCCCUUGUGGCAAUGCUGCGCAGGGCGACCGCGGCUGGCCAUAUCAAGGGUGUGGUUGGCCACCUUAUCCCAGGGGGGAUCUCCCACUUGCAGUACGCAGACGACACUCUGCUACUGUUCCAACCAGACGACCACGGCAUCGCUACGGUGAAGGCCCUGCUGUUAAGUUUUGAAGUGAUGUCCGGCCUAAAAAUAAACUUCCACAAGUGUGAAGUUCUGUCUAUGGGGAUUGACAGAGAGGAGGGGCUCCGUAUCGCAGACCUCCUCAAUUAUAAAGUGGGAAGAUUUCCCUUUACGUAUCUGGGGCUGCCUCUAGCGCCACGUAGAGUGACGAUAGACGAAUGGGCACCACUAACAGGGAAGGCGGGGAAGAAGGUGAGCCCGUGGCGUGGCAAAUUUAUGUCCUCCGCAGCCAGACUGGUUCUCACCAACUCGAGUCUUUCCUCGCUCCCCUUGUUUGCUAUGGGGAUGUUCCUAUUGGCAGAAGGGGUUCAUGCCAAGUUGGACACGCCGCGGGCACGAUUUUUUUGGGAGGGGUCGGACCUUAAGCGCAAAUACCACAUGGUAAAAUGGGCUGCGGUAUGUAGGCCCAAAUCCUUGGGAGGACUAGGGAUCACCAACACCAGACUACAGAACAUAGCGCUCAUGUGUAAAUGGAUCUGGAAACUCUCGCAAGGAGCGACUGGACUUUGGGCUGACAUCCUUCGGGCCAAGUACUUCCCCAACGGGAAUUUCUUUGAAGGGGAAGCAAGGGGCUCCCCCUUUUGGCAAGACCUACAGGCCAUCAGACCCGCUUUUGAUAAAGGUGCUAAGUUCCAAGUCGGUAAUGGUCGCUCCACCCGAUUUUGGCUAGAUUUCUGGGUGGGCACAGGCCCUCUUUGGGAAGUGUUCCCUGAGUUGUAUGCUCUAGCUGUGGCGCCGGACCAGCGAGUGGCAGAGGCAUUGGCUCAUCCCCUGGCCAUUGCCUUCCGCCGUAACCUGAACGAGCAGGAAGCAGCAAAGUGGGAGGCUUUGCUGCAACUCGUAGCCCCCGUGACGCUAACUGAGGAACGAGAUAGGGUUUCCUGGCACCUCAAUGCGUCCGGGAAGUUCUCCGUCAAGUCUUUGUACCACAAACUGUGCCAAGGGUCGGUACAGACAGUGGCUAAAGGACUUUGGCAAGCCCGCGUCCCUUUGAAAAUCAAAGUGUUCCUCUGGCAGCUGUUACGCGAUCGGCUUCCCACAUCUGUUAACAUUGCAAAGAGGAACGGCCCGGCCUCUGGGCCGUGUGCGCUGUGCGGGUCGCCACAGAACGCGAACCAUGUCUUUUUCCUUUGCCCGCUGGCGCGUUUUGCUUGGAGUGCAAUGCGUGAGGCGGCCGGGGUCUCGUGGGAUCCGCGCUCCUCGCACGAACUGGUGGCGCUCCUGGACUCGGUCCAGGGCCAGGGCAAGAGGGUGUUGUGGACUAGCAUUGGCGCGAUGCUUUGGUCCCUGUGGCUGACACGCAACAAAUUUACCAUCGAAGGACAGUUCCCAACGCACCCAGCUAAUAUUAUCUACAAAUGCUCUUUCCUCUUGCAGCAAUGGAGUCCGUUGGUGAAGCCGAAGGACGCUGAUCUCAUGAAGCACGCCCAAGUCCGUAUUCACCAGGUUUACGUCGCGGCUAGGGAGCCGGUGGUGCCAGCCUAA